rnacentral:rRNA from 1 species
AUUGAACGCUGGCGGCAGGCCUAACACAUGCAAGUCGAACGGUAACAGGAAGAAGCUUGCUUCUUUGCUGACGAGUGGCGGACGGGUGAGUAAUGUCUGGGAAACUGCCUGAUGGAGGGGGAUAACUACUGGAAACGGUAGCUAAUACCGCAUAACGUCGCAAGACCAAAAAGGGGGACCUUCGGGCCUCUUGCCAUCGGAUGUGCCCAGAUGGGAUUAGCUAGUAGGUGGGGUAACGGCUCACCUAGGCGACGAUCCCUAGCUGGUCUGAGAGGAUGACCAGCCACACUGGAACUGAGACACGGUCCAGACUCCUACGGGAGGCAGCAGUGGGGAAUAUUGCACAAUGGGCGCAAGCCUGAUGCAGCCAUGCCGCGUGUAUGAAGAAGGCCUUCGGGUUGUAAAGUACUUUCUGCGGGGAGGAAGGGAGUAAAGUUAAUACCUUUGCUCAUUGACGUUACCCGCAGAAGAAGCACCGGCUAACUCCGUG